AUGAACGCUAGCUACAGGCUUAACACAUGCAAGUCGAGGGGCAGCAUGGUCUUAGCUUGCUAAGGCCGAUGGCGACCGGCGCACGGGUGAGUAACACGUAUCCAACCUGCCGUCUACUCUUGGACAGCCUUCUGAAAGGAAGAUUAAUACAAGAUGGCAUCAUGAGUCCGCAUGUUCACAUGAUUAAAGGUAUUCCGGUAGACGAUGGGGAUGCGUUCCAUUAGAUAGUAGGCGGGGUAACGGCCCACCUAGUCUUCGAUGGAUAGGGGUUCUGAGAGGAAGGUCCCCCACAUUGGAACUGAGACACGGUCCAAACUCCUACGGGAGGCAGCAGUGAGGAAUAUUGGUCAAUGGGCGAGAGCCUGAACCAGCCAAGUAGCGUGAAGGAUGACUGCCCUAUGGGUUGUAAACUUCUUUUAUAAAGGAAUAAAGUCGGGUAUGGAUACCCGUUUGCAUGUACUUUAUGAAUAAGGAUCGGCUAACUCCGUGCCAGCAGCCGCGGUAAUACGGAGGAUUCGAGCGUUAUCCGGAUUUAUUGGGUUUAAAGGGAGCGUAGAUGGAUGUUUAAGUCAGUUGUGAAAGUUUGCGGCUCAACCGUAAAAUUGCAGUUGAUACUGGAUAUCUUGAGUGCAGUUGAGGCAGGCGGAAUUCGUGGUGUAGCGGUGAAAUGCUUAGAUAUCACGAAGAACUCCGAUUGCGAAGGCAGCCUGCUAAGCUGCAACUGACAUUGAGGCUCGAAAGUGUGGGUAUCAAACAGGAUUAGAUACCCUGGUAGUCCACACGGAAACGAUGAAUACUCGCUGUUUGCGAUAUACGGCAAGCGGCCAAGCGAAAGCGUUAAGUAUUCCACCUGGGGAGUACGCCGGCAACGGUGAAACUCAAAGGAAUUGACGGGGGCCCGCACAAGCGGAGGAACAUGUGGUUUAAUUCGAUGAUACGCGAGGAACCUUACCCGGGCUUAAAUUGCAGAUGAAUUACGGUGAAAGCCGUAAGCCGCAAGGCAUCUGUGAAGGUGCUGCAUGGUUGUCGUCAGCUCGUGCCGUGAGGUGUCGGCUUAAGUGCCAUAACGAGCGCAACCCUUGUUGUCAGUUACUAACAGGUUCCGCUGAGGACUCUGACAAGACUGCCAUCGUAAGAUGUGAGGAAGGUGGGGAUGACGUCAAAUCAGCACGGCCCUUACGUCCGGGGCUACACACGUGUUACAAUGGGGGGUACAGAGGGCCGCUACCACGCGAGUGGAUGCCAAUCCCCAAAACCUCUCUCAGUUCGGACUGGAGUCUGCAACCCGACUCCACGAAGCUGGAUUCGCUAGUAAUCGCGCAUCAGCCACGGCGCGGUGAAUACGUUCCCGGGCCUUGUACACACCGCCCGUCAAGCCAUGGGAGCCGGGGGUACCUGAAGUGCGUAACCGCGAGGAGCGCCCUAGGGUAAAACUGGUGACUGGGGCU
rnacentral:rRNA from 1 species